UGGUGCUUGAAUAUGAAGAAAAGAGAAUAACAGGCAAAAUUAAUAAUAAAAAGUGAAAAAUGGUAUAGAAUAUUACAGAAUACAGAAAUGAAGAAACCACUUCCAGACCAGACCCUUUUAUAAGUUGCACAUUUUUUUUAUUUUUUUUUGCCUUUUAAAUCUUUCUGUUCGGACACCAUAUUGGUCCGACACCCCAAUAGCCUGACGCCCUAUUAGUCCGACGACCCAUUGGACCGACACACGAAUAUUAGUAAUCCGACACA
rnacentral:lncRNA from 1 species